UCGGGAAUAUUGCGCAAUGGAGGAAACUCUGACGCAGUAACGCCGCGUGCAGGAUGAAGGUUUUCGGAUUGUAAACUGCUUUAGACAGGGAAGAUACAAGACAGUACCUGUAGAAUAAGCUCCGGCUAACUACGUGUCAGCAGCCGCGGUAAUACGUAGGGAGCAAGCGUUAUCCGGAUUUAUUGGGUGUAAAGGGUGCGUAGACGGGAAGACAAGUUAGUUGUGAAAUCCCUCGGCUUAACUGAGGAACUGCAACUAAAACUAUCUUUCUUGAGUGUUGGAGAGGAAAGUGGAAUUCCUAGUGUAGCGGUGAAAUGCGUAGAUAUUAGGAGGAACACCAGUGGCGAAGGCGACUUUCUGGACAAUAACUGACGUUGAGGCACGAAAGUGUGGGGAGCAAACAGG
rnacentral:rRNA from 2 species